CGUAACACGUGGGAAUUUGCCUCGGGGUAUGGAAUAACUCAGGGAAACUUGAGCUAAUACCAUAUAAUGUCUUCGGACCAAAGAUUUAUCGCCCUGAGAUAAGCCGCGUAGGAUUAGCUAGUUGGUGGGGUAAAGGCUCACCAAGGCGACGAUCCUUAGCUGGUCUGAGAGGAUGAUCAGCCACACUGGGACUGAGACACGGCCCAGACUCCUACGGGAGGCAGCAGUGGGGAAUAUUGGACAAUGGGCGAAAGCCUGAUCCAGCAAUGCCGCGUGAGUGAUGAAGGCCUUAGGGUUGUAAAGCUCUUUUACCAGGGAUGAUAAUGACAGUACCUGGAGAAUAAGCUCCGGCUAACUCCGUG
rnacentral:rRNA from 1 species